UUACGGUCAUAUCACGUUGAAACAUCGGUUACCGUACGAUCACCGAAGUUAAGCAACGUCAAGCCUGGUCAGUAACAAGACGAGUGACCGCUUGGGAAUACCAGGUGUUGCAAG